rnacentral:rRNA from 1 species
AACGAACGCUGGCGGCAUGCCUAACACAUGCAAGUCGAACGAGACCUUCGGGUCUAGUGGCGCACGGGUGCGUAACGCGUGGGAACCUGCCUUUAGGUUCGGAAUAACUCAGAGAAAUUUGAGCUAAUACCGGAUGAUGUCUUCGGACCAAAGAUUUAUCGCCUUUAGAUGGGCCCGCGUUGGAUUAGCUAGUUGGUGGGGUAAAGGCCUACCAAGGCGACGAUCCAUAGCUGGUCUGAGAGGAGGAUCAGCCACACUGGGACUGAGACACGGCCCAGACUCCUACGGGAGGCAGCAGUGGGGAAUAUUGGACAAUGGGCGAAAGCCUGAUCCAGCAAUGCCGCGUGAGUGAUGAAGGCCUUAGGGUUGUAAAGCUCUUUUACCCGAGAUGAUAAUGACAGUAGCGGGAGAAUAAGCUCCGGCUAACUCCGUG